CAACUACUCCCUCUGUCCCAAAUUUCUUGUCUUAGAUUUGUCUAGAUAUGGAUGUAUCUAGAUACGGAUGUAUCUAAUACUAAAAUGUGACUUGAUACAUCCGUAUCUAGACAAAUCUAAGACAAGAAUUUUGGGAUGGAGGGAGUACUUU
rnacentral:pre_miRNA from 1 species